rnacentral:misc_RNA from 1 species
AGCUACCACAACACACGCUGAAAAAGCGGCACCUCCAAUCAAGAUGAAGGCAGUGGAAGCCACUCGGGUGUCGAGUACGGUACUAGCGCAGGAUAUUCCGCGAGAGGUCGACGCGGACGCCGAGGAGCUUGCUGAGAUGGAUGUCGCCGAUGGCAACAAGGUGCCUGCGCACGUUUGCCCAGAUGACAGCUUCCAUUCCAAGGACAGGGGCAACAGAGACCUCAGCACCAUUGGCCGCCUCCUACAGGUCAUGAUUCCGUAUGGCGGCAUGCUAUCGAGCAGCUUCAGCAUGGCCUCUACCACCAUCGGUGCCGGCAUCCUUGGGCUGCCGGCGGCCUUCCAUAGUGUCGGCAUUAUUAUGGCCACUGUCUAUCUCGUACUGAUCACGGCCGAGACCGUGUACUCCAUGCGGCUUCUCGUGCAGGUUUCGGAGAAGACAGGUCUUCGCUCCUUCGAGGAGAUGGCGAAGCAGCUUCUGCAUCCGCGCGCCAAUAUCUUUGUCGCCAUCAUCCGCGCGCUGCACAUCUUCGGCGGCUCCGUCGCCUACGUUGUCACCAUCGGUGACCUUCUCAAGCCGAUCCUCAGCUCCUCUGCGUCAACACCACCGUUCCUUCUCACCUCCAUAGGCCUGAAGCUCCUCACUACCGGUUUCUGGCUGGUCUUUAUGUUUCCGCUCGUCCUGCUGCGGAGAAUCAACUCGCUCCGCUACGUCUCCGCCUUCGGCAUUCUCUUCGUCCUGUACUUGGCUCUCGUGGUCAUCACCCACAGCGCCAUGAAUGGAAUGAGAGCGCGUCCUCGUCCGACAACGCGGCUGAUUAGCACUGGCAACAUGGCCAUUGAGGGCCUCGGAGUGUUCAUCUUCUCCUACAUGUGCCAGAUCAACUGCUUGGAAGUGGCGCUCGAGAUGCGACCUCGCAGCCUGGGCCGCUUCACGAUCUGCGCCGCCGUGAGUAUGACCAUCUGCGGUAUCCUGUACUACGCCACUGGCCUCUUCGGCUACCUUGACUUCGGCGAAAUGCGAGGCUCCAUCCUGCUUCGCUACAACCCACUUCAACAACCGCACGUGUUCGUGGGCUACGUUGGCGUGUUCAUCAAGAUCUGCGCCUCCUUUGGUCUCCUGAACAACGCGUGCCGCAGCGCUCUCUUUCCUCUCAUUGGCUGGGACCCCUACACCGUAGUCUACUGGAAGUACCUCAUCGGCGCUGUUUCUCUUGCUGUCCUCGUACUCAUGCUCGGGCUUUUUGUGCCGAACGUGAACAUAGUGUUUGGGUUUACGGGAGGUGUAUGUGGUGGUUUUGUUGGGUUUAUCCUCCCUGCGCUAUUUGUGAUGUACGCUGGAGGGUGGUCGUUUCGCUCCGUAGGAGUAAUCAACUACUGCUGCACCUACCUCGUUUUGGCUGCUGGCGUGGUAGCCGUUGUCUUCGGCACUGCUGCCACCAUCUACAGCGUCGCUACUAACUAAAAGCGAAAGUGGUUAAGAAGACUCCACUGAUUCGAUGUUCUGCGGUGUCUUUUAUUCCCGAUAACGACACAGUCAGCGUUGUUUCUUUGUCCUGCCGUUCGUCUAUUCGCGCAAGGCUCACCGGUGUAGACUAUCUCCAAGCCUCCGUUGGCAGAGGUCUUUUGUUUUUGCUUACGUUUUUCUCCGUAAACGCUGGUAGCCCACGAUUGUAGUCUCCCAGUAUCGGGCCCGCUCGGUCCACCUGCGCUUAAUAGCCUUUGCUCCUUUUUCUGAACUACAUAGAUGCCCUAUGUAGUCAGCAAAAACAUAUUACGGUAUGCAAGCUAGACUUCUGCCUUUUUCCGUUUAGAAAUGCUUCCUUCCUAGCAGACUCUUACCCGAUUCUCGCCUCCCUAAAGUCUAAAGGCUUGCCUUUGCCUUUGUGCCCUUAGCUUG